UUAAGUUCAGCGGGUAGUCCUACCUGAUUUGAGGCCAAAUUGUCAAAAUUGUCCAAGUUAAUGGACAGUUAGAAGCUGAACUUUAUAAAGUUGCUUCACAUCCACGGCGUAGAUAAUUAUCACACCAAUAGACGGUCCACAAAAGUUCCGCUAAUGCUUUUAAGGAGAGCCAACCUCGUUGAUGAAGCCCGCAACCCCCA
rnacentral:misc_RNA from 1 species